GGCUCCCAUAGCACCGUUAAAAAUGCAUAAGUAUUGCAACAUGGUGGAUUACAGCGGGAGGAAAGGCAUCACCUCCUAAUAUAUCUGCCUCGUCUAGACGAAUUGGAGGCGUGUAAUGAUUUGAAACUCAUCCUGAAAUAUCUGUGGACUGUGCUGACCGUGCUGAGAUGAGUGGUUCGGCGAGGCGGACCUUGGAAACACCUACAUGGCCAUCACGACUGAAGUGGUGUUCGCCGACAGGUAAAAUGCAGGUGCAACCUUCACAGACUGACAGAGAUUGAGUGAUAACAGACCCUGGAGACCCUCCAAGCGAUGGCUGGUGACCGCCUGCCACCAUCCACAGGCUGUUACACAAGGAGCCCUGGGAGUAACCUUGCCGGAAGCCCCGCGGGCCGCAGUGUGUGGCUGGCGUUAUACAGCCCCCAGCCAUCGCCUGGAGGGCAUCCAGUGUCUGUUAUCACUCACCUCAGGUAGUCUGUGAAGGUCCAGUCAUCACUGGUGCACGUGUAUCUUACCUGUGAUCAACACCGGCAGCCACAGACUCCUGCUCAAGGAACGAACACAGUGAUCGUGAUGACAUUGACAACAACGAGCAAGUCCUCCUAGACCUAGAGUGACCUCAAGCUGGGCCAAACAUGAUGUGGAAGAAGAAAUCAGUUGUCUCCAUCAGUCGGGUUUGUGCCAUGGCAGCUUUCUCCAGCUGUCCGGCAGAGGUCCAGUCCAUGCCAUGGAGAAAUUCAGCCCCCAACAAUGAGAUGGCAUGCCAGAGAUGGAUCCGCAGCUUCUCCUCCAAUCAAUCAAUCCUUGCAAUGCCUUUUCUCUUUUCUCUCCUUCUGUACCACCAUGCUUACACAUAACUGAUCCAAGGUACUGAAACUCAUUACCCUCCUCCAUUUCUUCACCAUUCAAAAUUAUUUGGCAUUCUUUUUCACAUUCAAUGCCCACUCUAUAUGGGCAUACAAACUCUACAACCUCCCUUCUACUCCGCUCACAAACCAUCACUUUACUUUUGUUGACAUUUACUUUCAACUUUCUCCUUUUACAUACACUAUCAAAAACACUGACCAAAUUUUGUAAGUCACUUUCAUUUUCUGCAAUGAGCACCGUGUCAUCAGCAAAUAAGAUUGAAUUCAUCACCCACUUCCUUCCCUCCCUCAGCAUACAUUUUUACUUCAAUUUCCCCAACUUUGCCCUUCAUUUCUCAUAACACCAUCCAUAUAAAUAUUGAACAACCACGAUGACAUGACACACCCCUGCCUUAGCCCACUUUUAUCUCAAAAUGUUCACUUGUUUCUCCACUAAUUUUGACACAUGCAGAUGCAUCCUCAUAGAAAGACUUUAUUGCAUAAAGCAGUUUUCCUCCCACACCAUAUAUCUUUAAGACGUCCCACAAUGCCAGCCAAUCGACUCUGUCAUAAACUUUCUUUAGAAUAACUAGAUCCAUGAAGGCAGCAUAGUAUUUUUUCCUUUUGCUAAUAUUUUUUCUAAUAAAACACCAUCCUGAAGGAAAAUAUCUGAUCCACACAUCCCCUUCCCUCCCUGAAGUCUCCUUGUUCUUCACUGAUUUUCUCUUCUGUAAGUCUUUGUGCAGUCUCAAUUAGGACUUUUCCAUAUACCUUUCCAGGUAGCCUACACUCAGCAGACUUAUACCCCUACAACUCCCACCUCCCCUCUCCUGCCUUUCCCCUUGUAAACUGGAACCAUGAUGGCUUUUGUCAAGUCUGCUGGGACCUCCCCCCCCCCCCCCCCCUUCCCAGGCCACUUCGCAUAUCUUGACCAUUCAUAUAGUAACUUCAUCUCCACACUUCAACAUUUCUGCUGUGAUUCCUCUCAAUUCAUUCAUCAUCAUCAUCUCAUCGACGCCUGCUCUUAGGAGCUCCCACCAGGGGAUGGCCACGGCAGAAGUUUCCAUCUUUCUCUAUCCGGACACUCCCUCCUUGCCUGCUCAAAGUUUCUCAAGGAUCUCUCAUCCUUCUCCCUAACGUACUCCUGCACCCUAUCUCUCCAUUUCACUGGAGGUUGUCCUCUAACAUUCCCUCCCUCAAUCUCACAUACACUCUUCUGGUCAUCUUACUCUCCUCCAUUCGCUCCAUGUGGCCAAACCACUUUAAAGUCACUUAUUCCCUUCACCCCCGCGACACAUUCCAAAACGCUCAUACACACUUUCAUUACUUAUUCCAUCCAUUCUACUCACACCACAAGCACUCCUCAAAUAACUCAUUUCCACUGCCUGCACUCUAGACCUCUGACUUUCAUUCCAGGCCCAUGUUUCACUUGCAUAUGUGAGGGUUGAUACUAUUAUUGUAUUUUCAACUGAUAACUGAUCCAGGGUACUUAAACUCAUUGACCUCCUCCAUUUCUUCACCAUUCAGAAUUAUUUUGCAUUCUUUUUCACAUUCAAUUCCCACUCUAUAUGGGCAUACAAAAUCUACAACUUCACUUCUACUCCCCUCACAAACCAUCACUUUACUUUUGUUGACAUUUACUUUCAGCUUUCUCCUUUUACAGACGCUAUGAAAAUCACUGACCAAGUUUUGUAAGUCACUUUCAUUUUCUGCAAUGAGCACUGUGUCAUCAGUAAACAGGAUUGAAUUCAGCACCCACUGCCUUCCCUCAGCGUACAUUUUUACUCCAACUUUGCCCUUUAUUUCUCUCAUAACACCAUCCAUAUAAAUAUUGAACAACCAUGGUGACAUGACACGCCCUGCCUUAAUCCCACCUUUAUCUCAAAAUGUUCACUUGUUUCUCCACCAAUUUUGACACAUGCAGAUGCAUCCUCAUAGAAAGACUUUAUUGCACUAAGCAGUUUUCCUCCCACACCAUAAAUCUUUAAAACAUCCCACAAUGCAAUCCAAUCGAGUCUGUCAUAAGCUUUUUCAAAGUCCAUGAAGGCAGUUCCUGCUGCUUUUCCAUUUUUUUAUCUUUUUAAUGCCUGAUUUACUUCUUCAUAUGUUAUACUUCUUUCUUUAUAUACUCCUCCUCUACCUCCGCUCAAAACUGCUGCUGUAACGGCUGCUGGACGUCCAUCAUCAAAAUUCAUUAAGUUUUUGAAAUAUUCUCUCCAUGUCUCUUUCACAGCUUCCCCGUCUUUCAACAUCUUUCCACUCUCAUCCAUAACUUCAUUAAUUUUCCUUGGGGUGAUGCUUUUCUUUCGUUUUUUACUUCUUUCCAACUCUCUUCUUACUUUUAUUGCUUGUUUUAAUUUCAUUUUGCAUUCUCUAUAUUUCUUUUUCCUUUCCCUUUUUACUUGCUCAACCACAUUUCUUUCUUAAGUUUUCUUAAAAAAGUUCCCUUUUCUCUUUUACUAUCCUCCUUAUCUCUUCUGUCCACCAUGAAUUUCCUUUUCUUUUUCCAUCUCUCACCACUUUCAUCCCUACCACUUUUUUGUUGUAGUUAACACUACUUCUUUAAAUGUUCUAAAAACUUUUUCAGUAUCUGUACUAUCUUUCACACUUUCCCAUUUUUCACUUAAGGCCUCUGCCAUUUCACGUUAUACUCAUCUUUUAUUUCUUUUUUCCUGUAACUUUUCUAUCUUCAGUAUUUCCUUUUUUACUUCACCUUUCUUUUCAAACACCCACUUUUGCAAGAUGGUCAGAGCCAUCGAACAUCCCGCUUACUACCUUCGCGUCACAGAUAUCCUUUCUCAGUCUUCCAUCUACUGCCACAUUAUCAAUCAAUCCUUUCUGCUCAUAAUCAUUCCCCCUCCUCUAUGUGAAUAUAGGCAAAAGUAAUAAAGCCCCACACAUCAGAAGUUGUAUUGCUUUGCCUAGGUUAUGCAGAUGAUGUAGUAUUAGUGGAAGGAUUUUGCCUGAUCCUAAAUGACUUUGGUAUGGAAUGGAAACUUAUCUUUAAACAUAAUAAUGGAAAUUCACACCAGCAGUAGGACAGCGGGUGCUGGGAAACAAUAUCUUAGAG